rnacentral:rRNA from 1 species
UACGACUACAUAUCAGGCAUAUCAAUAAGCGGAGGAAAAGAAACUAACUAGGAUUCCCUCAGUAACGGCGAGUGAAGCGGGAAGAGCUCAAAUUUGAAAUCUUCAAGGUUCUACCUUGACGAAUUGUAGUUUAAAGAAGUGUUUUCUGUUGGAGUUUUGGUGAAAGUUCUUUGGAAUAGGACAUCAUAGAGGGUGAGAAUCCCGUAUUUGACCGUUAUUCUCUAGCUGUGUGAUACACUUUCAAAGAGUCGGAUUGUUUGGGAAUGCAGUCCAAAAUGGGUGGUAAAUUUCAUCUAAAGCUAAAUAUUGGCGAGAGACCGAUAGCGAACAAGUACCGUGAGGGAAAGAUGAAAAGAACUUUGAAAAGAGAGUUAAACAGUACGUGAAAUUGUCAAAAGGGAAGCGUUUGACACCAGUGUUGUUUUCUCGAAAAUCAAUUAAAAAUAGUUGGAUUUUGUGUUGUAUUGACCUUAACAGCUUGCUUCACUCUUUUCCAGCUUUUUUUAAUGCACUUUUCGUUUAACAAGUCAACAUCAGUUUCUUUUGUUGUAAAAGGGUCAUUGGAAGGUGGCUUUCUCUUCGGAGAAAGUGUUUAUAGCCUUUGAUCUCUGCAAUCGGAGAGACUGAGGUCUGCAGCGUAGAUCCUUCGGGGUUAGAUACAUUUGCGCUAAGCUACAGCUUUUCAUAGACAACUUGUUGACUAUGUUUAGUCUUGUGACUUACCCGCUUAUGCUAUUUUACCUACGCUUAGGAUGUUGAGCGCAUGUCUCUCUCU